rnacentral:lncRNA from 10 species
UUGAUGUCCAUGGUGGCACCUGCCAAGGUCGCCGGAACUCAGAAAUACGAGGAUGGAAGAGGGAAAGAGGACACUCUUCCCUCUCUACCUCAAGUACCCUGGGUAUCUGCUAGGAAGAGAAGAGAAGCAGGGAUGCCUGCUCCCCGCUUUCUAGAUGGCUAGCCAUUCACCUUCAGUCUGUACCCUUUUCAAAUGCAUCCUAAACCCCUGGGACUCCUUUGAAAAAACUCCUUCUUCUCUAUCCUGUCUUCACUCAUAGUAAUUGCGUCUCUCUAGUAUGGAACACUCCCCACAAAUGCAUCCUCCAAACUGGAAAGAGUUAAUUUCUCAAAUCUUAAACUGGUUGGCUUAGGACUGGGCUCAGGGGAAGGGAACCCAGAAGCCUGACAUGCCAGCAAAAGAGUGAAGUUUUUUUUUUAACCAGCUGGGCUCUUGGCCUCCCUCUCCCUGGGCAAACUGGUAAAAGGCCUCAGAAUUUCUGAGCUGUCCUUAUUCCUCUCCUUGUUUCGUUUUAAUACAUGUUUUCUAACAACUUAGUUUGUUCUUGCCUUUAGGCCAUCACACUCGUCAUGCAACCGGAGCCUUUGACGAUGGCCCCUUUUGCUGGGAACCCUUAGAUAGGACUGUGGGGGAGCUCUGACUGCUGUUUCCCCAAAAUGGCGCCCCCUGUCAGCAGGAAGCUGUUAAGAUGGGUCUUUGUCCUUAUCUUCAGUCUAACAACGGUUAGAAGUACUUCUUUAUAGCUGGGAAUGAGACAACCAGGUGAAAUGUGGACCCUGGAGAAACUCCAACCAGCCUGCCCACUGAAGUGGACCCUCAGGUAGUUGGUACCCUUUGCAGCGGGGAGAAGCUUGGCCCCUCCUCUUCCUGUGUGGAAGCUGGGAUUCAAAUGGCAGGAGACAGGAACUCUGUCUUUAGCUGAACUAAGGAAAAGUCCUGCAACAGCAUGAUGCUGGUGUGUCCAGAAUUGGUUCCUGCCGGUGGGAUCGUGGUCUCACUGACUUCAAGAACGAAGCCGCAGACCUUGGCGGUGAGUGUUAUAGCUCUUAAAGAUGGCAUGGACCCAAAGAGUGAGUGGUAGCAAGGUUUAUUGUGAAGUGUGAAAGGACAAAACUUCUACGGCAUGGAAGGGGACCCGAGCAGGUUGCUGCUUCUGGCUGGGGUGGCCAACUUUUAUUCCCUUAUUGUCCCCUUCCAUGUUCCAUUUCUGUCCUAUCACAGUGCCCUUUUUUCAAUCCUCCCCGCAAUUGGCUACUUUUAUAAUCCUGCUUAUUGGUGCAUUUUACAGAGUGCUGAUUGGUGUGUUUUACAAUCCUCGUGUAAGACAGGAAAGUUCCCCAAAUCCCCACACAACCCAAGAAGUCCAGCUGGCCUCACCUCUCACUGACAUCUUCUCGGGAGCCCUCAAGAAGCUUUCAUGGUGGAAGGCAAAGGGGAAGCCAGCACGUCUUCCACGGCCAGAGCCGGAGCAAGAGAGAGACAGAGGAGAUGCCCCACACUAUUUAAAUGAACAGAUCUCAUGAGAACUCACUCACUAUCACAAGAACAUCAGCAAGGGGGAAAUCUGCCCCAUGAGCCAAUCACCUCCCACCAGGCCCCACUUCCAAUAUUGAAGAUUACAAUUCAACAUGUGAUUUGGGCAGGGACACACAUCCAAGCCAUAUCAAUAACUCAACUAAUCCAAACUGGAGGGGCAAACAAGCAGCUGGGGCCCUACACUGAUCCUCAGUUGCCCAACUUCUUUGGGCUUUGAUAAAAACAGAUGCAUUUCUGACAUCAUAUUUUUUUUUAAUUAAGAUUUUCUAGAGAGACAGGGUCUCAUGAUAUUGUUUAGGCUGGUCUCUAGCUCCUGGCCUCAAGCAAUUCUUCCACGUUGGCCUCCCAAAGUGCUGGGAUUACAAACGUGAGCCACUGUGCCUGGCCUGUCAUCAUAAUUUAAAUGGAGAAAACAUUAUUUUAAAUCACUUGGUCCUGAAAAAUCUUAAUGGUUUGGUUGAUUAUAUACAAAUAUAUGCUUGUGCAUUCUUUGUGCUAUUUCUAGUAGUUUUGCUUACAGGUUUAUUUCAUACAGCUGUUAGUGUCAUUUUUCCAGUACUAAAAAAUAUCCUAACAGCAGUAAUACACCACACAAUUAAAAUGACCACACACACACACACACAGACACGCACAGGCACAUAUCUCUCUAUUGUUAAUGGUCUAGUAGUCAGAUUCAAAAUGGAGAAAUUUGUUGUAAAGAUAUUAACACACAAUGGUCUUUAUAGAUCAUUGCUUCCAAAGAUGCACUAAAAGUUGAAAUUGUGUUCAUUUUCUGGGAAAAUUAAUAUGUAACAUUCUGAAAGUCUGCAUCUUUCAUUGGUCCUUCUAAUAGGCUCACGGUUUCAUUUCCUUUGUUUUGCUCAAGUCAGUAAUGCAAAUGUUAAGCUCCCUCUAUUAGUGCCCCUUAAAAGUAAGUUGAUACUUUGGAGCUCUUAAGUGGACCUAAAUGGUUUUUCAGGCAUUAUCAUUUCUGUUUUCCACUAGCCAGGGAGACCCUAAGGGUGGGGAGACAUGGCUUCUUUGUAACCCUCACAAUGCCCGUACAGUCCAUUAUGGGCUUAGUAGGAUUUUUUGUUAUUAACUUGGGAAUGCCGUAGUUGUCUGUAGAAGUGAACAGGAAAUAAACAUUGUCUACAUGUGGAAAUGAUGCAAAUUUUAAACUCUUAUAGUACACUUUUCAAGCCAAUUUUAAGUUGAGACUCAGAGUGUAGAAAAGUAAGCCUUCUAUAAUGUAUCUCUGAGCAGGGCCAUUUUACUUAAAAUUAGUGAAGUUGUCUCCUUGACCUGUUGAAGACUCAAUGAAAAUAAAUUAGAGCUGAGCUUUAAACCAUUCAUUCCUUCCCACUUCCCAUGUUUCUAAUUGUUUUGGGUCCUGAUUUAGAGAAAGCCAAUAAAAUAUUAUGGCUUUCUAAGCUAUCAAUUAAUGGACAAUUUAGAAAAUGCUUAUGGGUUGUCUUCCAUCUCCAAACUUGGUGGAGCAAAUUGAAAUGGAUGACUCAUGUCUAGGGGAUCAAGCAUGUUAAAUCAAUGAACAUGUUUGCUUGAAUCUCAUCUCCUAAUGAGCUGAAACAGAUAGAACAUUUCUCAUGCAUCCAGAUGGAAUUAUUUUGGAAAGUAAACUAAUGCACAUGCCCACACAAAAUUCCUCUGCUAUCUCUAGCCAGAUUCUGUUAGCUGUUCACCAAGAUGAUUUACCAACAAUAUGAGGUUGGGCUGCUUCUUUAUAUUAUUGGCUCCACAGGAAUUCUUCCAGAAGACAAUAUUUUUUCUAUUUUGUUUUGUUCAAUUUAAUAAUAUCAUGUACAAUAUUUUCUAGAUGCUGUGAGUUUGUAUGUGUAUCUUGAAUGUGGGGGAGGUUUAGGUUUUAUGACAGUAAGUGGAAUUCACUUAUUAAGGUUAUUUGACUUAGAAUUGAUUAUUUAUGCCAAUACUUGCUAAUAUUUAAAAUUAUUUCACUGUUCAUUGCCCUUACUAUGUAAAACUCUCUUGAAAGUCACUAAGAAAAAACAUAAACAACUCAAAAUAAAAAAGUAAAUUGGAAUAACUUUUGGAGGUCAGUUUUCCAAUGUGUAUCAAAAGCCCUAAAAAAUAUACUUCCCGUG